GUGUCAGCAGCCGCGGUAAUACGGAGGGUGCAAGCGUUAUCCGGAAUCAUUGGGUUUAAAGGGUCCGCAGGCGGAUUUAUAAGUCAGUGGUGAAAGCCUACAGCUUAACUGUAGAACUGCCAUUGAUACUGUAAGUCUUGAAUUUGGUCGAAGUGGGCGGAAUAUGACAUGUAGCGGUGAAAUGCAUAGAUAUGUCAUAGAACACCGAUAGCGAAGGCAGCUCACUAGGCCAACAUUGACGCUCAUGGACGAAAGCGUGGGGAGCAAACAGGAUUAGAUACCCCCGUAGUCC
rnacentral:rRNA from 1 species